rnacentral:rRNA from 1 species
UACGUAGGGUGCAAGCGUUAAUCGGAAUUACUGGGCGUAAAGCGUGCGCAGGCGGUGAUGUAAGACAGUUGUGAAAUCUCCGGGCUUAACCCGGAAAGGUCAACUGAUACUGUGCGACUAGAGUGCGGAAGGGGCAACUGGAAUUCUCGGUGUAGCGGUGAAAUGCGUAGAUAUCGAGAGGAACACCUGCGGCGAAGGCGGGUUGCUGGGCCGACACUGACGCUGAUGCGCGAAAGCCAGGGGAGCGAACGGG